CGUAGUCUGUGGUGCUUUUUGUGCUAUAUUCGGUGCUGUUGCCCUUGAUUCUGGGAAGUCCGAUGCUGCUGCAAAAGUGUUCUUGAAUGUUCAUGCUCGCACUGGUGAAUUAGCUGCUGAUUUUUAGGUACUUAUCAUUUGAAAAGUCUCGGAUUGGGUUCCUUUGUCAGCAAGUAUUUAUUAUUGGCCUGAGCGCUUGAUCGAGGCUGUUUAGUUGUUAUAGAACAAUUUUUAUAUUAAAAUGUAUGCGUACGUUGAAAUUGGAACAUAUAUUUAAAUGUAGUACGUGCACUUUGGUUUUGGGAUAUAUAUAUAUAUAUA